UAGUUUAACGUGUUGCGUUUCUUUCCUUCUACAGCCAAGUGCCACCUUUGCCUCUAGCUUCAUAAAAACCCAGUCCUCUUUGGCACAGUACUAUUUGCUCAUGUUCGUGAAAAUCAUUGAGCUCUGCAAGCUUAAGGGUAAGGAGACCAGGGCGGAGCCGGAGGUUUCCAGAGUCAGCAAGGCCUCGGGGGGCAGCAGCGAGCACAUCAACAAGCUGCCACCGCCGGUGCCGGUGCAGGAGGAGGAGGAGCAGGAGGAGGAGGCGCCGGAAUGGCUGGACGUGCUGCUGCGGACGAAAUUCUGGGGGCAGUGCAAGCAGCACUGGGACGCGAGCCGCGCGGAGGUUUGCAUCUUCUGCCUCCGCUGCCGCCAGGUGCUCUGCCCGCGCUGCAGCCAUGACGAGCCCGGCCACCGGCUGCUCAAGGUCCGCCGCUACAUGUACCGCUCCGUCGUUCUCGCCAGGGACUUGCAGGACCUCAACGUUGACGUGUCCAGGGUACAGACAUACAUUGUCAAUGGCCAAAAGGGCGUGCACCUGAGGCCCAUGAGGAGGUCCCCGCAAUUCAAGCCUCACGUAGAGACACCUCGCUGCUUAUCUUGCUUCUGCUGGCUCCGCAGUGCUCCCAACAUAUUUUGUUCUCUCAGCUGCAAGGUUGGUGUAGAUAUAUCUCAGGAUGAUUUCUCAGGACCUGAAGCUGAGCGUAGGCAUAAGCAGACUCUGGGAAUUGUGGUGGAGUCAUCUCCUCAACAGAGCAUCCCACAACCAUUUGAUGCCUCACCUGUGAGAAAUGAAGAUGCCACCAUGGUUGAAGCUGAGUGUGGUCAAGUUCAGACGAAUGCGACGGAGUCGGAGUCGUCAGCGGUAGGAGAUGCAGAUGAGGUUAUACCUAAAGUUACUAAGUUCAAUGUUGAUAUCCACUCUUUGAGGAGGCGAGUUCGCAAGCAGGCGGCACCACAGAGGGCCCCCUUCUUCUGA
rnacentral:lncRNA from 1 species